rnacentral:lncRNA from 1 species
GAUGGGAAAGUUCAGCGUGCCUCUAAUCUAUACAUGGCUGCCACAGCAUUGCCCCAUAGCAACUACUGCUCAGAUUUUCUGUGUCUUGCAAGCUUUGGAGAAGAUGAUGAGCAGAGGGUGCCCUCCACCAGAACAGCGAGCCCUGCAUCCUCUGGGUGUCCAUCUGUCCAUCUUGCAUAGCCCUGCGGUGCUAUUGCAGGGGAGGAGCAGACCAGGUGUCCCAGACAAGGUUUGCAAACCAGGACGUGACUGCACCCAGCCUGCGCCCGGCACGUGCAGCUGUUCAAUGUCUACGGUGUGGGAUUAAAAUAGCCAGCGUGCUCCUCGUGUCCCACAGCUCUCUGCUUUGCAAAGCUGGAGCCCUGCAGCAGCCUUCUCCCACAGCCUCACCGAGGGACACCCCUGGGCCAAGGGCACUGC